rnacentral:tRNA from 1 species
GCCUGUCUAGUUUAAUGGAAAAACGCCAACUUCGUAAAUUGGAGAUAGGGGUUCGAAUCCCUAGACAGGCUC